CUCUUGUGCAAUUUAAAACAAUAAACCAAACGUGAGCGGCUGUCGGUUCUCAACAUAAUAGACUUUAUCAGGAAACAUGUCUCACAGCCGAAUAAACUUUUCGGACAAGUACAACGACGACCAUGAGUACAGGAAGUGGCUCAAUGUGUUCCCCGAUUGCGUCUGAUGUCUGAAGACAAGUGGAGACCAUCGGGACUGCAGCUGUCCCAGGAUGGAUCCACGACAUGAUCCGCGCACCAGGCACUGAAUGCAAUAACUGGGACCCGCAAACAUCACGCUGCUCACUUUGGAGUGCAAAAAGUAGCGCUCAGUAGUCCUUAAACAACAUGAUUCAAGCAGCAAACUCACUGUGCCAAAAUUAAGAAAGAAACUUUGAAACA